rnacentral:rRNA from 1 species
GACGAACGCUGGCGGCGUGCUUAACACAUGCAAGUCGAACGGAAAGGCCCUGCUUUUGUGGGGUGCUCGAGUGGCGAACGGGUGAGUAACACGUGAGUAACCUGCCCUUGACUUUGGGAUAACUUCAGGAAACUGGGGCUAAUACCGGAUAGGAGCUCCUGCUGCAUGGUGGGGGUUGGAAAGUUUCGGCGGUUGGGGAUGGACUCGCGGCUUAUCAGCUUGUUGGUGGGGUAGUGGCUUACCAAGGCUUUGACGGGUAGCCGGCCUGAGAGGGUGACCGGCCACAUUGGGACUGAGAUACGGCCCAGACUCCUACGGGAGGUAGCAGCGGGGAAUAUUGCACAAUGGGCGGAAGCCUGAUGCAGCAACGCCGCGUGCGGGAUGACGGCCUUCGGGUUGUAAACCGCUUUCGCCUGUGACGAAGCGUGAGUGACGGUAAUGGGUAAAGAAGCACCGGCUAACUACGUG